rnacentral:rRNA from 1 species
CCGGCGACCGGCGCACGGUGAGUAACGCGUAUGCAACUUACCUAUCAGAGGGGGAUAACCCGGCGAAAGUCGGACUAAUACCGCAUGAAGCAGGGGCCCCGCAUGGGGAUAUUUGCUAAAGAUUCAUCGCUGAUAGAUAGGCAUGCGUUCCAUUAGGCAGUUGGCGGGGUAACGGCCCACCAAACCGACGAUGGAUAGGGGUUCUGAGAGGAAGGUCCCCCACAUUGGUACUGAGACACGGACCAAACUCCUACGGAAGGCAGCAG